CGCGCCGCUGCCCAGCGGCCGCCGGCCAGAGUGCGAACUCGGAUCAGUUGCUGCUCCAAACCCAACAAUUCGGAGGAAGAACCCGCAAGAAGCGAGUCUCCCAGCGAUGCCAAGGAUGAAGAAAAUAUUAGCUCCAGACGACGAUGUCUAGCUUGCAUGUGUGUUGUAACAUUAAUCAGUGCAUCGGGCCCAACGUUUUAUGCGCCAAAAGGAUUUGCUGCGGAUAUGACGAACAAGCGUGGCAUACAAAAAGCUGUGUGCAGAAAUUGUGGUGGUGGCG